GACGAACGCUGGCGGCGUGCUUAACACAUGCAAGUCGAACGGAAAGGCCCUGCUUUUGUGGGGUGCUCGAGUGGCGAACGGGUGAGUAACACGUGAGUAACCUGCCCUUGACUUUGGGAUAACUUCAGGAAACUGGGGCUAAUACCGGAUAGGAGCUCCUGCUGCAUGGUGGGGGUUGGAAAGUUUCGGCGGUUGGGGAUGGACUCGCGGCUUAUCAGCUUGUUGGUGGGGUAGUGGCUUACCAAGGCUUUGACGGGUAGCCGGCCUGAGAGGGUGACCGGCCACAUUGGGACUGAGAUACGGCCCAGCCUCCUACGGGAGGCAGCAGUGGGGAACAUUGCACAAUGGGCGGAAGCCUGAUGCAGCAACGCCGCGUGCGGGAUGACGGCCUUCGGGUUGUAAACCGCUUUCGCCUGUGACGAAGCGUGAGUGACGGUAAUGGGUAAAGAAGCACCGGCUAACUACGUG
rnacentral:rRNA from 1 species